CAAAGGAUGUCAAUACCACCUGGCGUUGAGCAUCCCCAUAUGAAGCCUCGACUAACUCUGUGCCAGCAUUCGCUGUAAGACAGAGGAGGCAACCGUCGUUCGGAAUCACUGGGCUUAAAGCGGGUGUAUGCGGCCAAUCAAGUGUCCUGUGAAAGCCCACGGCUCAACCGUGGAAAUGCAGGGCAAACUGUUCGGCUUGAGGUCGGUAGAGGUGCCUGGAACUCUCGGUGGAGCGGUUGACAUGCGUAGAUAUCGAGAGGUACGCCAGAGGCGAAAGCGGGGCACUGGGCCGAUUCUGACGCUGAGAUCCGAAAGCGUGGGGAGCAAACAGGAUUAGAUACCCUGGUAGUCCACGCCGUAAACGAUGCACACUAGACGUUGGUGGUUCUGACACUGCCGGCGUUGUAGCAAAAGUAUUAAGUGUGCCGCCUGGGGAGUACGGCCGCAAGGCUAAAACUCAAAGGAAUUGACGGGGGCUCACACAAGCGGUGGAGCAUGUGGCUUAAUUCGAAGCAACGCGAAGAACAUUACCCAGGUUUGGCAUGCUUGGAUGCUCUCUGGGGAUAACUCAGAGUUGCUGCCCUUCGGGGUGAAACUUGC
rnacentral:rRNA from 1 species